rnacentral:rRNA from 3 species
GAUCAAGUGUCUUAAGGGCAAUUGGUGGAUGCCUUGGCAUGCACAGGCGAUGAAGGACGUGAUACGCUGCGAUAAGCUACGGGGAGGUGCGAAUACCCUUUGAUC